rnacentral:rRNA from 1 species
CCUACGGGUGGCUACAGUGGGGAAUAUUGGACAAUGGGGGGAACCCUGAUCCAGCCAUGCCGCGUGUGUGAAGAAGGCCCUCGGGUUGUAAAGCACUUUCAGUGAGGAAGAACGCCUGGUGGUUAAUACCCAUCAGGAAAGACAUCACUCACAGAAGAAGCACCGGCUAACUCCGUGCCAGCAGCCGCGGUAAUACGGAGGGUGCGAGCGUUAAUCGGAAUUACUGGGCGUAAAGCGCGCGUAGGUGGCUUGAUAAGCCGGUUGUGAAAGCCCCGGGCUCAACCUGGGAAUGGCAUCCGGAAACGGCAAGGUAGGAGUGAGGAGGGGAAAGUUGGAAUUCCGGUGGUAGCGUGAAAUGCGGUGAGGUUCGGAAGAAAACCAGGGGGGGAGGGGGGCCUUCGGGCCUGACCCGAACACGGGGUUGGAAAGCGUGGGUAGCAAACAGGAUUAGAUACCCGAGUAGUC